UUAGCCGAACUCCGCAAGGGAAAUGUUUUCCAAAAUAAGUAAAUACAAUAGAACAAUGCAUUUAAGAAUUACAGAUGAAGUUUUCAAAAAAUUCCCCGACUUUUCCAGGUUUUUCAGGUUUUCUAGAAGUACGUGAAUACCCUGGACCUAAUAUCAAAUAAAUUAGAAAAAAGAUGAGGAGGACAACAAAAAACUCAAAGCAUGGGUGUCUGAAGGGCUCAGAUGGAUAAAUUAAACAGUUGUAUCGACGGAACAACAACAUGAUCAAGGAAUACCUAUGUUGAAACAGUUGAAGCGAUUUCAUAACUUCACUGAUUCAUACCUUAGAAUCGUGGCCUACUCGUGAAUCACAUGUGUGAAGGACACAGAUGGAUAAAUUACAUGCCGUAUCAAUCAAUAGUGACAUUAAAACAUUGUAGAAAUCUAAAAUUGUUUCUUGCAGUUGCGUCAAGUGAAACAAGCGAAGCGAUGUGAUGAGUUAUUACUUCAGUAAAUUCACGUACGAAAAUAAUACGAACACCUGCAAACUUCGUGUUGAUUUGAUUUCGCUCUGCAAAAUCAGGUUUCAAUACGAGCAUAAAAUACAAAGAAUUCUGGCAGGAGUAUUCAGAUUAUACCCACCAUAUUGUGACUUCUAGACUAUCGGGCACUUCAACGCUAUGUCUCCUUAUUUCUCGAAGAAUUUUAAAUGUAUCAUCCUCGUGAGCUUGUUAAUUUUUGUGAUCAUUCAAGAAGUUGUGGGUCCAGAGGAAACUGGCUGGGUUGUAUUAUCUGAUGGUAAAGGCGGAGCAAUGCAGUAUGAACGAAAAUGACCACGAUAGGUACGGUAAAUUAUACUUUUCUUACUCAAGAAGAUCCUCCUCUUACCACUAGUACCACGAGCCUAUCGAUGUAAAUAUUAGAAAUUAUUGUUAAUCUAUUAUUUUAAUAUUUAUGUAUUGUCAAUAAGCCACAAAUAAA